UGGGGAAUUUUGGACAAUGGGCGAAAGCCUGAUCCAGCAAUGCCGCGUGUGUGAAGAAGGCCUUCGGGUUGUAAAGCACUUUUGUCCGGAAAGAAAUCCUUGGCUCUAAUACAGUCGGGGGAUGACGGUACCGGAAGAAUAAGCACCGGCUAACUACGUGCCAGCAGCCGCGGUAAUACGUAGGGUGCAAGCGUUAAUCGGAAUUACUGGGCGUAAAGCGUGCGCAGGCGGUUUGCUAAGACCGAUGUGAAAUCCCCGGGCUCAACCUGGGAACUGCAUUGGUGACUGGCAGGCUAGAGUAUGGCAGAGGGGGGUAGAAUUCCACGUGUAGCAGUGAAAUGCGUAGAGAUGUGGAGGAAUACCGAUGGCGAAGGCAGCCCCCUGGGCCAAUACUGACGCUCAUGCACGAAAGCGUGGGGAGCAAACAGGAUUAGAUACCCUGGUAGUCCACGCCCCAAACGAUGUCAACUAGUUGUUGGGGAUUCAUUUCCUUAGUAACGUAGCUAACGCGUGAAGUUGACCGCCUGGGGAGUACGGUCGCAAGAUUAAAACUCAAAUGAAUUGACGGGGUCAUAGCUGUUUCCU
rnacentral:rRNA from 1 species